CACGUAGGGGGCGAGCGUUGUCCGGACUUAUUGGGCGUAAAGAGCUCGUAGGUGGCUCGGUAAGUCGGGUGUGAAAUUUCGAGGCUCAACCUCGAGACGCCACCUGAUACUGCUGUGGCUAGAGUCCGGUAGGGGAGCGUGGAAUUCCUGGUGUAGCGGUGAAAUGCGCAGAUAUCAGGAGGAACACCAGCGGCGAAGGCGGCGCUCUGGGCAGUAACUGACGCUGAGGAGCGAAAGCGUGGGGAGCGAACAGG
rnacentral:rRNA from 1 species